rnacentral:rRNA from 1 species
AACGAACGCUGGCGGCGUGCCUAACACAUGCAAGUCGAGCGCGAAAAGGGCAACCUUAGUAGAGCGGCGCACGGGUGCGUAACACGUGGAUAACCUUCCUCAGAGUUUGAGAUAACUGGCCGAAAGGUCAGCUAAUACCGGAUAAGCUUACGGGGGCUUCGGCCUCUGUGGGAAAAGUAGGCCUCUGUUUACAUGCUUACACUCUGAGAUGGGUCCGCGGCCCAUCAGCUAGUUGGCGGGGUAACGGCCCACCAAGGCAACGACGGGUAGCUGGUCUGAGAGGACGAUCAGCCACACUGGAACUGAGACACGGUCCAGACUCCUACGGGAGGCAGCAGUGGGGAAUUUUGCACAAUGGGCGAAAGCCUGAUGCAGCAACGCCGCGUGUGUGAUGAAGGUCUUCGGAUCGUAAAGCACUUUCGGCCGGGACGAAAAACUGAAACCUAACACGUUUCAGCUUGACGGUACCGGAAGAAGAAGCACCGGCUAACUCUGUG